rnacentral:lncRNA from 1 species
CCCUCCAUUGUAUAUUCCCCUUGCCAUUGCAUUGUUAACCCCUAGCCCAUUUUGCGUUACUUGCCUAUCGAGACUAGCCAUUUGAGUAUUGCCGGCAACAUUACUUGUGCACAUUAGUGAUCAUACCUUCCAUUACAUACAUACCAUAUCAUCUUGGUAUCAUAUCAUCCAUUGUGUCUCAAGUUUGUUCCUGCAUAUACACAAUUGCUAUCUUGGUUUGUGCAUUGUGCAAAAAUGGCCAUAGAAAAAAAAUAAAGCUUUUAAGCAAAAGAGAGAGAGCAAAGAAGCUUGUAAGCAAGUGCCAUAGCAUCAUACCACAUUGCAUAUAAGAUUGUCAUAUCCGAUCAUCUUGGAUCAACUUGAGAGAAACACCGGGAACCAUACAUACAUAGCAUACUUGGGAUAGAAGAAUAUCCAUUUGGCAUCUUAUAGGUUGUGCACAAGUGUCGUAUCCGCCUAUUGAGCAAUCGUGCUAGCGUAUCUCUUGAGUUGUGCAACACGAGCGUUUUCUGUGGAUUACACAUUUUGUGCUCAUUCCUUGGUUGCACGACCCCAUUUAUCUUCCUUGUGUGUGUUUCCAUGUGCCAUUCAUUGCUAUUGGUCUACUUGUUUCGCUUGCGAAUUUGUGAAUCUCUUUCAACAUUAUUGACUCUUGCUAACAUUUUGCAUUAAAUUUUUGUGCCACUAUCCUCACCGAGCUCCACUAUAAGCCUUACUUGUGUAGGUGUGAGAACCGACAAGGAUUGGUACCAAUAGUGCUAUUUCAUUGUCCGCAUUUGAGUGAACUUGAUUCAUUGUCAACAUCGGUGAAGGUACAUUGGUAUAAGUUCUUCUCUUUCUCCCACUCAUAUUUGCUCGAGUCUUGUGAUGGAUAGGCAAGGCAUUUCCUCUCCGGUCUACGACAACAACGAUGGCGUGAACAACUACAUCUCCAAAGCGUCUAUCUUCGAUCUACAACGACAAAUGCAAGGCGCACAAUCAAGAUUGCAAGAGCACAUUGAGAACAUCUCCAUCGACAUUUUCCACUCCGAAGCAAGGAAAAGGGACUACAUCGACAACAAGCUUGCCGCACAAAAGGAGGAGCAAGAUGCGAGGAUGGAAGAGAUUCGGGCCUUGAUCAAGUCUUCUUCCACUUCAUCAUCCUCAAGACGACGACAUUCAAGCCACAAUUCUUCGGAGCGCAAACAAGAUGCAAGCGCAAGUCGUCCAAGUCAACAUCUACAUGGCGACCACCAUCACAUUCGUGAUCCACAUCGUCAUGAAGGGCAAGUCACCUCCAAGCAACAUGUGCACGACGACGACGAACGACAUCUACUACGAGCUCAAGCACGACAACGACAUCAUCAUCAUGAAGAUGCUCCACAAGCGCAAAUGCACAAGUCCCAACAAGCCCUACUUCACGCCAAGUCCAAGCUUCAAGAGCACAAAAGAAGACCGCGAGACGACCACCACCAAGACGGCUCUACGGCUACAACAACCACUAUGGCAUCUUCGCCAAGUGCUAUCAAGGCAUCUUCGCCUUUGGACGUACGGCAUCUUCGCCUACUUCCCACGAGUACGCCUACAACCACUUCCUCAAGUCCAAGGCAACGACCUACGAGCGAGGGUGACACUUCCAUCUUCGGAAGCCCCUCAAGGACGAUGGCCGAGCAUGGGAAACUCCCUUCGGUCAUGGAGACGAGCUACGAGGUGCCACACUAUAUGGGCCUCCUACACCAAGACGGUGACAAGAAGGUCGAGCAAGGGCCAUCCCAUGCGACCACGGCGAUAGGAGUUGAGCAUGGAGACAUUUGCACCUACAUCUCUCCGCCACCCACAUAUGUCGAGAUGCCCCAAGUGCCAUGUGAGGAGAGCCACCACCACACGAGUGACAUGAGUGACAUGAGUGACUCCACCAUACGUGACAUUGAAAGCAUUUCCUAUGAGAGGAUGAGUGUGACCACCACUAGCCCCACACAUGAGAGCAUGCCACACAUUCUAUGUGAGGUUGAUUGCCAUUUGAGUGACUCCACCAACCAUAUGAGUGAGAGCACCCUUGAGAGAGUGAGUGAGCCACAACACUUAGAGAGUGAGAUAGUUGACACGGCAUGUGAGGCCACUAUGAUUUCUAACGACUUAACCACUACCCCUAGUGUGUUUUCUUCUUUGGUGCUAGGUCUCCUACAUGAUGACAUGCCUAUCCUCGACGAGUCCAUCCCUCCAAUGGAGACGACGAUGGCCAUGGUGGACGAUGAUGCACCCCCCACAUGGUUCCAUCAAGAUGAAGAUGACAAUGAGUGGAGCUUAAACACCUCACCUACAACACAUGAGCGACGCUCCAAAGGUAACAUAGGUGAUGGUGCUUCUCUUGUCCCACUAGUGGACUCUCUGGACAUCGAUUUCUCCCAUGAUGUUGACCCACCUAUUACCAUGCUUCAUGCUAGGGAGACCUCUUCAUGCCUUGACUUACCUAUUUAUGAUGAAUAUGAUGAUGAGCAUGUUGAGUUGCCUAGUUGUGAUGCUAUGCUCCAUAGGAUAUCAUGUGAAAAUUCUUUUGGUCACAUCAUGUUUGACAACCCAUUGAACUUGUCAUAUGCUAUGAGUGAGAUCUCUCAUAUUGCAUCAUUUCAAUCUCAACAUAGUAACUAUGCAUGCCCCAUUAAAAUCAAUCCCAUUUGCACUUAUGGCAUAGAUGACAAGAUGAUGGUCAUUGGCUUUUGUUUUUCAUGUGAUGAUAUUGCCAUGCUUCCUUUACAUGAUUUACGCAAUUCAUCUACUAUGUCAUGCCAUGAUCACAUAGAACCAAAUAUGCAUUGUUUUGGAUGUUGUCAAUAUUUUCCAUGUGAUGUUGCUACUCAUGCUCAUGAGGAGACCCCCAUAGUUUCCUCAUACAUAUUAGGAGAUUUUGAUGCAUUCCAUACUUUGCAUGAUUCCCAUAAUUGCGUGCACCAUAUGUGUUCCAUGAAUAAAAAUGCUCUAGAUAUUUCUCAUGAUGCAUUACACAAUUUGAGUCUCCAUUAUGACAUACAUAAUAACAAACCUCUCAUGAUGGAUGACAUGUUUCUAUAUCACGCAUCUCAUUUAUUUGAGCAUUGGCUAUUUUGUGCUAACAAACACAUGCACGUGCGCAUCAUGAUGGAUGACGUGUAUAUAUACCACGCACACACAAUUUUUCCUUUGUCUUUGUUUUGUGUAGGUACUCAUGUAUACUCGUCAACCUCUCAAUCCCAAGAGUUGACGAAACGAGCUCUUGAGAGCAACGAUGCUUUGGGAUCCCAUGGACUAUGCUUACCAUCGUUCUCUUCGUGCAUCGACUACGCGCAUAUCUUUUACUUGGCUCUCAUACGACUAUGGGCUAUUUACCACUUGUCACAUUAUGCCCAUACUAUUGUGUUCACUUUGCAUGUUAUGCUUGCUCUUAUGCCUUUACCAUGCAGUUGUGACCCUUGCUUGCAUCUACCCAUGAUUCAUCAUUAUGCUACUUCUAUGUGUAUUUGCAUGCUUGGUGGAGAUCCUUGUUGCUAUUGCCAUGUUUAUCAUGUGCCCCAUACUAUUGAUGUUUGUUGUGUUGGGAGAGUCAUGAUGCCACAUUGCUAUUUACAUAUGGUCUCUCGCCAAUACAUUGAUGACAUUUUACUCAUAUCUUGUUUUCAUGCUUGUGCUAUGACAUGUGAAUUAUUCAUGCCCACCAUUUGCACACAUGACAUGCUUGCCAUGAUUCCUUCUAGUAUGUUGCAUCUUCGCACUACUAGCCUGCUUGACUUGAUCGCUAUGAUUGCUUGCUAUGUUGCAUCACCCAUGUUCCACUAUUACUUGCUUUCUUGGGUUGAUGACAUAGAUGUUGAUGCCUCUCACUUGAUUUGUCAUGAUCAUUGCCUCUUGUCUCCAUUAGUUGCAGCUCUCAUAUCACCUUGUAUUGAGUGCCAACUUGCUAUGCUUAUUGAUCUUGGAGACUUGGACACUUUACUUGUGAUGCAUGUUUGUUUGAUUGAGCCUAUUGCAUUUGGUUGUUCUCGCAUCAUAUGCCUCCAUACUAUGCAAUACUCCCUUGUCAUUUCUUAUGAUGAGCAUGAUACAAACACUUGUUGGGUAUCUUACCACACGAAUGAUCGGUUUUUCCAUUUUGCUACCCUCAUUUGUUUUUCCAAGUGUUUGUCAUGUUCUUUCAUUUUGAAGGAUUUACAAGGCGGGACCACCACGAGACAUAUUGGUUAUGUGAAGGCAUACAAGAUGUGCGACUCCAUCAUCCUUGACAAACUCCUAAAGGUGACCUCCUUCUCUUUGAGCCAUCCUCAAAUACGCAUAUUGGAUGGGUCACUCUUUCAUUGUUGUUUCCUUCUUGUUGUCUACAUGUUACAUCUAUUGGAUGGAGGAGCAACAUUGGAGAUUGGCUCUAUGGACCUUCACAUUGAGGAGCGCUCGCACUUAUCGGAUGCACCUUCGGCACUCCACUCAUGCCUCUACAUCGAGCUUGGGUACACUACCACCUUCAUAUUUGUUGAUUGUGCUCAUACAUGUCAAGCUCGAUGGACAUAUCAUACUUACCACAAGUUUGCACCUCAUGCAUGGAUUGACUCACAUUAUGAUUGCCUUGUUGCAUCUUGUAUUCCCAUGUAAUCCAUGAUAUAUGAGCUUGCGCAUUUCCUUAGCAAAUUUGUUGUGAUCUACCUUGAAGGCAUAUUCAUACAUCAUGAUCAUAUUGUCCAUCAUCAAUUGCAUGAUAACAUAUACAUAUUGAGCAUCCAUUGCCAUAUUCAUGCUAUUGAUAAACCGUCUCACUAUCACAUCAUUUUGCACCAUGGUUGCAUUAAUCAUAUUUACAACACAUUUGUGUGCACAACGAUUGCAUUUCCUCCCAUGAAUGCUUUGCAUCUCAUUCUAGAUCAUCUUGAUAAGCUUCAUGCGCUUUGUCACAACCAAUCUUGCCGCACGGACUCAUUCUUACAUGAUGGACACUUUGUGUGCGCUAACCAUUGUAUUUCCGAGUGUUGCUUGUGUUUGCUCUUUUUGCAUGUCUAUCACUCCGGCGACACCUUGGACUACGCGGAUUGCACCAUGUCUUCAACUUCGUCCAACUACAAGUCCGUCUACGACAACCGUUUCCAUGGUGAUGAGGAUCACGAUCCGAGGUCGGAUCUUUCCCAAGGGGGGGGGGAUAUGAUGCGGAGCAUCCCACGUUCAUCCCCAUGUACACUCCGACUACUCUCCAAGCCCCAAGAGGACAUAUGACGAGACCUUGAACAUACGCCAUUGGACACAAGGUGAAUUCACUCCUCUUCGAACCGUCACUUUCCGCAUAUGAGACAUGGCUAUUACCUCAUGCAUGGACCUUGCAUACACUCAGGUACAACCAAGAUGACCAUGGAGAAUCCAAGGACCAAGGCCAAGCAUGGAAGAGAAGACGGAAGAAAGGAGAAGAAGAAGAUGGAGCGGCUGUUGGAGCCAGGCCGGACAUCCGGACCGCCGUUCGGAUCAUCCGGGCUCAGCCGGAUCAUCCGGACCCUCCCCCGCAUCGUCCGGCUAACUGCGCCGAAGACACCCGAAGGCUUCCACCGAAGCCGGAUCAUCCGGGACUCCAUCCGGAUCAUCCGGACCCCUGACGCCCGGAUCAUCUGGGGCCCCGUCCGGAUCAUUCGGCCUUGCUUGCGCGCAUGACUUGGGCCGAGGCCCGUGUACCCCUUCGCCCCUCACUUACCCCUUCGUGGCUUAGCACUAUAAAUAGACCUCCUGCUCCCCAUUUUGAGGGUUAGCAUUGGAUUAGCUCAUAUUUGUGUGAGAGCCUUUGCUCAUCCACUUGGAUACUUCUCCUCGGAGAUCACGACCUCUUCGGAGAAGAUCCCCCAAGCGGAUUCAAGACCCCUCUUUAGGGAAGAACAUCAAGGCCUCCUCUUGGAGAUGAACGGUUCCUUUGUAUCCUUACCUUAGUUGACUUUGUAUCUUGUGGAUCUCUUAUGUGUGUGGUGAUCUAGCACUUGUGUGAUCGAUUCCUUGUCGGUUGAGUGAUUCUCUCUCGUUUUCCCCGUGUUCUCCCUUGUGCUUCCGCGUGUUCUUCGUGAUUCCCCCGUAGGAUCCACUCCAAACGUGAAAGAUCGACGCUAUAGGGUUCCACCCUACAUCAUAUGGUAUCAUGAGCCACGUUGAUCACGUUUUUGGAGCCCCUACCCUUCGUUUUCUAGCUUGAUUUUGUUGAUUUCGUCCUAAAUCCGAAAAUCCCCACCAAAAAUAGCCCCAAAUUUUUUUGUGAUUUAUUGGUUUGAUGAUGUUUUGUUGAUUUUGAUCCGUGGAUUUGCUUGGUUUCAAGUGGAUCUAGCAUUUCCCCAAGUUUCCCCACCUUCCAUCCACGAAAUCCAUCAAAUUUUGCCCCGAAAAUCAUCCAAUUCCGCCCAAAAAUUCGUCCCCGAGAGGAAAUCCCGAGCAGUUUGACCUGCCCGGAUCAUCCGGACCUUCUCCCGGAUCAUCCGGACACCUCCCGGAUCAGCUGGACCCUCUCCCGGACGUCCGGAUAACCCACGCACCCAGAAAACAGAACCGGAGCUGACGAACCCGGAUCAUCCGGAUGUACACCCGGAUCAUCCGGACCUAGCCCGGAUCAUCCGGACCUCCUCCCGGAUGUCCGGUUAACCCUGACACUGACUCGGCUGAAAUCUUGUUUUGGCCGUAACUAAUUCAUCCGAACUCCGUUUUUGACGUUCUUUAGCUUGUUUUGAAGCUAUUGACAUCCCCUAUCCCACAAAAAUACCACCAACAUCAUUUGACUCCAUCAUAUUUUCUGAAGUUUGGCAAGUUUGCCUAGGCCCUCCAACAUAUCAUCCGCAUUACCACCACCGACUUCCGCAACCUAACCCAUAUUGCACCCCAUUGCAUUUGAGGUUGUUAGAGUAGUGAUUCGAGUCUCCUAAGGUGUUUCGGCUACUUAGGGACAAUUGCUUCUUCAUCAACCACCACCACCACUUCCGCAUAACCUUGCCCACCAUACAAUUCCACCCCAACUUAACGCAAUUUUGUUUGAGUUGUGGCUUGUGUCUCCUAAGGUGUUUCGGCUACUUAGGGACGACAACUUCAACUCCGACUCGUGUAUAGCCCAUCAUUCCACUUCCGCAUUGCCUAGUGCAACACCACCACCGCUUUCCGCUACCACCAUUUGACAUUUGUCAUUUGAGAUUUUGAGUUCGCGGUUUUUCCGUUUCCUAAGGUGUUUCGGCUACUUAGGGACGAGUCUCCAUCAUCUUGGUAUCUACAUCAAGAACGCUGCUACUCAUCAUCGUCGGACGGUAACCACCAUAUCAUCUUGGUAUCGUGGUAUCCCUCCAUUGUAUAUUCCCCUUGCCAUUGCAUUGUUAACCCCUAGCCCAUUUUGCGUUACUUGCCUAUCGAGACUAGCCAUUUGAGUAUUGCCGGCAACAUUACUUGUGCACAUUAGUGAUCAUACCUUCCAUUACAUACAUACCAUAUCAUCUUGGUAUCAUAUCAUCCAUUGUGUCUCAAGUUUGUUCCCGCAUAUACACAAUUGCUAUCUUGGUUUGUGCAUUGUGCAAAAGUGGCCAUAGAAAAAAAAAA